rnacentral:rRNA from 1 species
UACGUAUGGAGCAAGCGUUGUCCGGAUUUACAGGGUGUAAAGGGAGCGUAGACGGUAUGCCCAGUCUGAUGUGAAAGGUGUGGGCUCAACCCGCAAACUGCAUUGGAAACUGGUAGACUAGAGUGUCGGAGAGGUAAGUGGAAUUCCUAGUGUAGCGGUGAAAUGCGUAGAUAUUAGGAGGAACACCAGCGGCGAAGGCGGCUUACUGGACGAUAACUGACGUUGAGGCUCGAAAGCGUGGAGAGCAAAC